UUUGAUCCUGGCUCAGAACGAACGCUGGCGGCAGGCCUAACACAUGCAAGUCGAGCGAGAUCUUCGGAUCUAGCGGCGGACGGGUUAGUAACGCGUGGGAACGUACCCAAAGGUAGGGAAUAGCCACUGGAAACGGUGAGUAAUACCCUAUGUGCUUCGGGGGAAAGAUUUAUCGCCUUUGGAUCGGCCCGCGUUAGAUUAGAUAGUUGGUGGGGUAACGGCCUACCAAGUCUACGAUCUAUAGCUGGUUUUAGAGGAUGAUCAGCAACACUGGGACUGAGACACGGCCCAGACUCUACGGGAGGCAGCAGUGGGGAAUCUUGGACAAUGGGGGCAACCCUGAUCCAGCCAUGCCGCGUGAGUGAUGAAGGCCCUAGGGUCGUAAAGCUCUUUCGCCUGUGAAGAUAAUGACUGUAGCAGGUAAAGAAACCCCGGCUAACUCCGUGCCAGCAGCCGCGGUAAUACGGAGGGGGUUAGCGUUGUUCGGAAUUACUGGGCGUAAAGCGCGCGUAGGCGGACUGGAAAGUUGGGGGUGAAAUCCCAGGGCUCAACCCUGGAACUGCCUCCAAAACUAUCAGUCUAGAGUUCGAGAGAGGUGAGUGGAAUUCCGAGUGUAGAGGUGAAAUUCGUAGAUAUUCGGAGGAACACCAGUGGCGAAGGCGGCUCACUGGCUCGAUACUGACGCUGAGGUGCG
rnacentral:rRNA from 1 species